UUGCAGUUAAAAAGCUCGUAGUUGAAUUUCUGGACUAAACUUUCGGUCCGAGGCCUUCGUGUCUUGUGUACUGUCUUUGUUUAGUUCAUCUUAGUAGUGAGUGUAUCGGGCAUUAAUUUAUCUGAUGCAGGAGCUGCUUCGUUUACUGUGAAUAAAAUAGAGUGUUUAAAGCAGGCAUUACGCCUUGAAUACUUCAGCAUGGAAUAAAAAGAUAGGACUUUGGUGCUAUUUUAUUGGUUUGCACACCAAGUAAUGAUUAAUAGGGAUAGUUGGGGGUAUUCAUAUUUGAUUGUCAGGGGUGAAAUUCUUGGAUUUAUGAAAGAUGAACUUAUGCGAAAGCAUUUAUCAAGGAUGUUUUCAUUAAUCAAGAACGAAAGUUAGGGGAUCGAAGAGGAUUAGAUACCCUCGUAGUCUUAACCAUAAACUAUGCCGACUCGGGAUCAGUGGGGUUUGUUUAACGUCUCCAUUGGCACCGUAUGAGAAAUCAAAGUCUUUGGGUUCCGGGGGGA
rnacentral:rRNA from 1 species